AUUUCACUUGGCCGCCGCAUAUUGGGUUUUAUGUGAAACGCACCGGCAAGAAAUAGAAGAAGAUACUUGCUCUUUUGAUGGAAGCAAUACUCAAAGGUCAGGGACAAACGAUAACAAAAGCUUUUAUGUUUCACACGAAGCCUUCUGCAAUCCAUAGCCAUGUUAAUUUUAGGACAAGAUUUUUCUUGUCCUCUUAAGUGUUGUAAAAUAAGAAAGCAAGGCUUUAGAUGUUUCUUCAUAUUUGUAGCAUAGUCCCAGAAUAUCCAUGAAUUGUUUGAAUUAGCUGCUUUAUCAGAGCUUAUACUUGUUGAGGUUGCAUCUUUCUAUUUGUCCUUUUCAAAGGGAAGUGACAACUCGCCUUCUAUCCAAUGUCGUAGAUGUAAGAAUUUUGUGUGCUCACAUCUGAACUAAGGAUUAAGAAUUUAAAAGUAUCUUCUUGGAA